CGGCCGAAAAACGAUUGGUAACGAUUGCAGCAGGUUAGGCUGUACCGUGCCGACAUUGUUCGAGUGUUUGUGUGUCCGGGCAGCGGAUUCCAGAUAAUAAAAAAUAAACGAAAAAGAAAAAAAAAAAGCGCCGACCUAUCCGUCUCUGGGGUUUUAUCUGCGACAAGCGCCUACGUGAACGGUCGCGCGUCAACGCGUUUUUAUCGUAGGCAUUUUAUCGACAUAGGUAACAACAAUUUGGACAAUAUCGGCCAAACAGAACGACGGUAUGUAAACUCUGCCCCCGGCUGUGGAGGUAAACCCAAGUGUCUGUUUAGUUUACACGCCUACCCAACGUACUGUACAAAACGAUAAACCAUUGCAAACGAACGGUUCCGAGUAGUGUUCGGUUGGACGUUAUUUUGAACGAUCUAAAUUGAUAACUGUGACAAACCUAUUAAUAUGUAACUACAAAAUAAAUUACAAUAUUCG